CUGCCGGCUGUGUUGUGAUCGACCAAGCGCGAGACGAGUGAGCUGCCAUUUUGGAAGAAGCAAGUGAAAAGUUGCUUUCGUUGGAUAACUCAACGUUUAAGCGAAGAUCCCGGCGUCGUACGAGUGAGUCCAGUAAGCGCGGUUUGGAAACCCAAAUCGCCGCAUAAAAUGAUUUCACUUUCAUCACUCGCCGUCGAUUUGGUCAGAGAUAACGAUGUUCCCCGACGAAUUAGCUUCUCCCAGAUAAUCCCUGCUACACUGGAAAUACCUUCCGUAGUUAUCCUAUUGUGACACCAGCAAAUAUACGGCCAAAAUCACCCCAAGAACCCCAUACUAAUAUAACGAUCAUCAGGAUUUUGCGCAACGGGUGCCAACUCGGUUCCAAGAUCGGUGUUAACCACCAACUCCACCGUAUCUCCAACACCUAAGUGAUAUGUUCCAGCCAGUAACUUCGAGCUUGUAUGCCAGGCUUGUUAUUGAUCGCCAGCGGAAGACAUGAAGGAAGAAGAAUUUGCGAGGACUUGGCCGCUCUAAGGACUCUGGGAAAGUGGACAUGAACUCCGGAGAAGGCGUCAAAAGGAUGUCUGAGCCGCAGGAUGAUAACGCCGCCAUCUUCGAGUCAGUGUUGUAUUAAGCCUGAAACCGUCGGAAUAAUGGUUUCCUUUUCGUUCCUAAGUGUCAAGAUGGCUCGUGGACCGAAAAAAAAAACAUUCGAAGCGUUGAAACGUGCCAGGAUUACCUUUGCCCGCGUCCAUCCACUGGCCCACAUAAACUGCGUGAUUUUAUUGCGCAACCAUCUGAAGUACGUCUUGACCAACUCCGAGGUCACCAAGAUCUGCAGCGUCACAUCUAGAUCGUUGGUAAGGUUCGCAUUGACCCCAACUACCUGGCUGAAUUCAUGGAUAUCAUCACUCUUUGAUCUAACGGCGUCAAGGAUCGUUUCACCGUUCAUCAUAGUACCCCGGAGGAAGCCAAGCAUAAGCUCCUGAAGGUGACGUGCGUCAGAUCGGCCGUGGAAGGUGCCGUUCAUCUCGAUUAGUUCCGAGCAUCCACCAAAACGAUUCGAUCCACAACGAUAUCGCCACCGAUGAUGGAUGGUUCAAGCUCGACCACGAAGAUCUGUGCGUGACCAACUAUCAGAACGGAAAACGAGCUGAUUGCAUGCGGAUAAUCGCUCAUAUUCAAACAGUGAGAAGAAGACCUGUUUUGUAUGAUGAAGAUACAAAAAUUCGUUAAUAAUACCCAGAAUACGAAAGCCCGCUUAACCGAAGCGGUAUGCAAGCGAUGUACUUUUUCCGAUCGGUUUAGGAUAGGGUGACGAUGGGUAUUAUCGGCAGGGUUGUUCUCUUCGUCAUGAGGGGAUUUUGUCGGCCAAUUUACCUGAAACUUUUGGUCGUAUAAUUAGGCUGGGUUGGAAAGGAUUUGAGGCUUACUCUGAGUUCAACAGCUUUCAAAAAACCCCUAUGACGAAGAGAACAAAACUGUCAAAAUACACAAUUUCCCCUAUUUUCAUAAUAAAAGUAUUUUAGAUUUUCUUAGGAUGUAUGGUAUAGGCAUGCAUGCAAAAAAAGCUCUAAUUUCAUUUGUAAAUGCUUAUAGAACAUGAUGUUUUUGAGCAGGCUUCAUUCCAUAUGGGACAAAAACAAUAAAGGAAGCAAUAAAUUUUAGUUCAACUCUUUGUUUUUAUCGAUUGUCCAUUGCCUUUUCUUCUAUGGCUGAUUAAAUUAUGUUUUUAUUCUUUUUCGAUUUGAAUUUAGUAUAGAUUUAGUGUUUUCUUCAGCUAUACAAAAUUCUGAGCGAAAAGGGAUGAAAAUGCAAUUUAAUCGGCUAUAGAAGAGCCUUGAAAUCGUUUCCAUUUUACGUCGCUUCAUUCACAUCGUAUAAAUGUACAUCGAAUAAAUUACAUCGCAAGAAUUACAUCAGAUCUGUUUAUUACAUCCACAGCCACCGAGUACAUCGGGCUGUGUAAUAUUCAUCAAUCGAUGUAACGACCUGGUUGCAG